AGCUUUGCAGUGGUGGUAUCGUGGCCAAUGAGGUUUAUCCAAGGCACGAUUAUUGCUAAUUUAAAAUAUAUGUCAAGAAUUGCAAUUUAUAUUGGACCUAGGUCUACUUACAUGCAAUCCAAAAUUCUUCCUAGAA